rnacentral:rRNA from 1 species
AUUGAACGCUGGCGGCAGGCCUAACACAUGCAAGUCGAACGGUAACAGGAAGCAGCUUGCUGCUUCGCUGACGAGUGGCGGACGGGUGAGUAAUGUCUGGGAAACUGCCUGAUGGGGGGGGAUAACUACUGGAAACGGUAGCUAAUACCGCAUAACGUCGCAAGACCAAAGAGGGGGACCUUCGGGCCUCUUGCCAUCGGAUGUGCCCAGAUGGGAUUAGCUUGUUGGUGGGGUAACGGCUCACCAAGGCGACGAUCCCUAGCUGGUCUGAGAGGAUGACCGGCCACACUGGAACUGAGACACGGUCCAGACUCCUACGGGAGGCAGCAGUGGGGAAUAUUGCACAAUGGGCGCAAGCCUGAUGCAGCCAUGCCGCGUGUAUGAAGAAGGCCUUCGGGUUGUAAAGUACUUUCAGCGGGGAGGAAGGGAGUAAAGUUAAUACCUUUACUCAUUGACGUUACCCGCAGAAGAAGCACCGGCUAACUCCGUGCCAGCCGCCGCCGUAA